AUUGAACGCUGGCGGCAGGCCCAACACAUGCAAGUCGAACGGUAACAGGAAGCAGCUUGCUGCUUUGCUGACGAGUGGCGGACGGGUGAGUAAUGUCUGGGAAACUGCCUGAUGGAGGGGGAUAACUACUGGAAACGGUAGCUAAUACCGCAUAACGUCGCAAGACCAAAGAGGGGGACCUUCGGGCCUCUUGCCAUCGGAUGUGCCCAGAUGGGAUUAGCUAGUAGGUGGGGUAACGGCUCACCUAGGCGACGAUCCCUAGCUGGUCUGAGAGGGUGACCAGCCACACUGGAACUGAGACACGGUCCAGACUCCUACGGGAGGCAGCAGUGGUGAAUAUUGCACAAUGGGCGCAAGCCUGAUGCAGCCAUGCCGCGUGUAUGAAGAAGGCCUUCGGGUUGUAAAGUACUUUCAGCGGGGAGGAAGGGAGUAAAGUUAAUACCUUUGCUCAUUGACGUUACCCGCAGAAGAAGCACCGGCUAACUCCGUG
rnacentral:rRNA from 1 species